GAUCAUGGUAGGCUUAAACCAAACCGCUAGGCCGUGGCCCUAACAACAGAAGAAACUCACUAAAACCUUCUCCAUGACC
rnacentral:tRNA from 1 species